rnacentral:rRNA from 1 species
ACUCCUACGGGAGGCAGCAGUGGGGAAUAUUGCACAAUGGGCGCAAGCCUUGAUGCAGCCAUGCCGUGUGGGUGAAGCAAGGCCUUCGGGGUUNUAAAGCACUUUCAGUUGUGAGGAAGGUGGUGUCGUUAAUAGCGGCAUCCAUUUGACGUUAGCAACAGAAGAAGCACCGGCUAACUCCGUGCCGACCCGGCGGUUAAUACGGAGGGUGCUGANACGUUAAUCGGAAUUACUGGGCGUAAAGCGCAUGCAGGUGGUUUGUU